UGCCUCAGUAACGGCGAGUGAAGCGGCAACAGCUCAAAUUUGAAAUCUGGCCCCAGGCCCGAGUUGUAAUUUGCAGAGGAUGCUUUUGGUGCGGUGCCUUCCAAGUUCCCUAGAACGGGACGCCAGAGAGGGUGAGAGCCCCGUACAGUUGGACACCAAGCCUUUGUAAAGCUCCUUCGACGAGUCGAGUAGUUUGGGAAUGCUGCUCAAAAUGGGAGGUAUAUUUCUUCUAAAGCUAAAUACCGGCCAGAGACCGAUAGCGCACAAGUAGAGUGAUCGAAAGAUGAAAAGCACUUUGAAAAGAGGGUUAAACAGCACGUGAAAUUGUUAAAAGGGAAGCGCUUGUGACCAGACUUGCGUCCGGUGAAUCACCCAGCUCUCGCGGCUGGGGCACUUCGCCGGCUCAGGCCAGCAUCAGCUCGCUGUCGGGGACAAAAGCUUCAGGAACGUAGCUCUCUUCGGGGAGUGUUAUAGCCUGUUGCACAAUACCCUUCGGCGGGCUGAGGUACGCGCUCCGCAAGGAUGCUGGCAUAAUGGUCAUCAGCGACCCGUCUUGAAACACGGACCAAGGAGUCAACCUUAUGUGCGAGUGUUCGGGUGUCAAACCCCUACGCGUAAUGAAAGUGAACGCAGGUGAGAGCUUCGGCGCAUCAUCGACCGAUCCUGAUGUUCUCGGAUGGAUUUGAGUAAGAGCAUAUAGGGUUGGACCCGAAAGAAGGUGAACUAUGCGUGUAUAGGGUGAAGCCAGAGGAAACUCUGGUGGAGGCUCGCAGCGGUUCUGACGUGCAAAUCGAUCGUCAAAUAUGCGCAUGGGGGCGAAAGACUAAUCGAACCUUCUAGUA
rnacentral:rRNA from 2 species